AUUGAACGCUGGCGGCAUGCCUUACACAUGCAAGUCGAACGGUAACAGGUCUUCGGAUGCUGACGAGUGGCGAACGGGUGAGUAAUACAUCGGAACGUGCCUAGUAGUGGGGGAUAACUACUCGAAAGAGUGGCUAAUACCGCAUGAGAUCUACGGAUGAAAGCAGGGGAUUGCAAGACCUUGUGCUACUAGAGCGGCCGAUGGCAGAUUAGGUAGUUGGUGGGAUAAAAGCUUACCAAGCCGACGAUCUGUAGCUGGUCUGAGAGGACGAUCAGCCACACUGGGACUGAGACACGGCCCAGACUCCUACGGGAGGCAGCAGUGGGGAAUUUUGGACAAUGGGCGAAAGCCUGAUGCAGCAAUGCUGCGUGCAGGAUGAAGGCCUUCGGGUUGUAAACUGCUUUUGUACGGAACGAAAAGCCCCGGGUUAAUACCCUGGGGUCAUGACGGUACCGUAAGAAUAAGCACCGGCUAACUACGUGCCAGCAGCCGCCGUAA
rnacentral:rRNA from 1 species